rnacentral:rRNA from 1 species
GAUGAACGCUGGCGGCGUGCUUAACACAUGCAAGUCGAACGAGAAGUGAAGACGGAAACCUUCGGGCGGAAGGCUUUAUUUCGAGUGGCGGACGGGUGAGUAACGCGUGGGUAACCUGCCUCAUACAGGGGGAUAACAGUUGGAAACGACUGUUAAUACCGCAUAAGACCACAGCACCGCAUGGUGCGGGGGUAAAAACUCCGGUGGUAUGAGAUGGACCCGCGUUCGAUUCGCCAGUUGGCGGGGUAACGGCCCACCAAAGCGACGAUCGAUAGCCGAUCUGAGAGGAUGACCGGCCACAUUGGGACUGAGACACGGCCCAAACUCCUACGGGAGGCAGCAGUGGGGAAUAUUGCACAAUGGGGGAAAGCCUGAUGCAGCGACGCCGCGUGAGUGAAGAAGUAUUUCGGUAUGUAAAGCUCUAUCAGCAGGGAAGAAAAUGACGGUACCUGAGGAAGAAGCCCCGGCUAACUACGUG